CAGCCGCCGCGGGAAUACGGAGGGUGCGAGCGUUAAUCGGAAUUACUGGGCGUAAAGAGUGCGUAGGUGGUUGAAUAAGUUAUGUGUAAAAUCCCUGGGCUUAACCUGGGCAGGUCAUAUAAUGCUGUUUAACUCGAGUAUGGGAGAGGGUAGUGGAAUUUCCGGUGUAGCGGUGAAAUGCGUAGAGAUCGGAAGGAACACCAGUGGCGAAGGCGGCUACCUGGCCUAAUACUGACACUGAGGCACGAAAGCGUGGGGAGCAAACAGGAUUAGAUACCCGGGUAGUCCCUGUCUCUUAUAC
rnacentral:rRNA from 1 species